rnacentral:rRNA from 1 species
AGCGAACGCUGGCGGCAGGCCUGACACAUGCAAGUCGAACGAACUCUUCGGAGUUAGUGGCGGACGGGUGAGUAACACGUGGGAACGUGCCUUUUGGUUCGGAAUAACUCAGGGAAACUUGUGCUGAUACCGAAUGUGCCCUUCGGGGGAAAGAUUUAUCGCCAUUAGAGCGGCCCGCGUCUGAUUAGCUAGUUGGUGAGGUAACGGCUCACCAAGGCGACGAUCAGUAGCUGGUCUGAGAGGAUGACCAGCCACACUGGGACUGAGACACGGCCCAGACUCCUACGGGAGGCAGCAGUGGGGAAUCUUGCGCAAUGGGCGAAAGCCUGACGCAGCCAUGCCGCGUGAAUGAUGAAGGUCUUAGGAUUGUAAAAUUCUUUCACCGGGGACGAUAAUGACGGUACCCGGAGAAGAAGCCCCGGCUAACUUCGUG